GUGUGUGUGUGUGAGUGUGUGUGUGUGGAUGGGAUAGUAUAUUUGUUUUGAAAGGAAGUAUAGUAGAAGUAGUAGUAGUAGUUGUGUGAAUGUUAAUGAGAAUGUGUGUGUGUGUGUGUAUGACUUUUGUGCUUGCUUGGAUAGGGUUGUGUGAAUAUAUGUUGUUGUGUAGUUGUAGUUGAUGACCGGAAGCAUUGGUAGGCAAGCAUGCAGGUGUAUUUCUGUGUAUGAAUUAAAGCGGACUUGAAGUACAUACAAGAAUGGGAGACCGAUUGAAUGAGGUGUUUGACAAUGAAUGACGGAAAGUACGGUGAAAAACGGUGACCUAAUAAUGUGUUAGGGUGUCAGUCUUUACAAUCCGAUGAGCUGUAAGUGUGUGUGUGUGUGUAUAUCUAUGUACUGAGAGAACCAGAUAAACUUAGUCAAAUCAACCCGCCUUAAAGAAUCAAGUAUGUUAGUGGGUAUGUCUAUUCCCUCUCCCCUCUACCCUAUAUAUACACACACACAUAAGCGGGGUUAUUCAUAGGUAUGUAAACGCAGGAAUAGACCAGGUAAACUUAUUCAAAUCAACCCGCCUUAAAGAAUCAAGUAUGUUAGUGUGUAUAUGUGUGUUUCCUCUCCCUUUCCCCCUACAUAUACACACAUAAGCAAUUUUAUUUAUAGGUAUUUAAACGCAGGAAUACAGGAAGUGUGUAGAGAAAUGCCUUAUUCAAAUCUAGUAUGUUAGUGUGAGAAAAACAAGAAAAUUAAGUUAGAAAAAAAAAGAGAAAAAUAAAAAUAAAACAAGAAAACGAUACAGGAAAAUUAAGAUAGGAAAAAAAAGAGAAAAAUAAAAAUAAAACUUAAGAAAA